rnacentral:rRNA from 1 species
AUACGUAGGUGGCGGGCGUUGUCCGGAAUUACUGGGUGUAAAGGGUGCGUAGGCGGGCAGGCAAGUUGGAUGUGAAAUACCGGGGCUUAACUCCGGGGCUGCAUCCAAAACUGCAGGUCUUGAGUGAAGUAGAGGCAAGCGGAAUUCCCAGUGUAGCGGUGAAAUGCGUAGAGAUUGGGAGGAACACCAGUGGCGAAGGCGGCUUGCUGGGCUUUAACUGACGCUGAGGCACGAAAGCAUGGGGAGCGAACAGGAUUAGAUACCCUGGUAGUCCAUGCCGUAAACGAUGGAUACUAGGUGUGGGGGGACUGACCCCCUCCGUGCCGGAGUUAACACAAUAAGUAUCCCACCUGGGGAGUACGGCCGCAAGGUUGAA